AGCAGCCGCCGCGGGAAUACGAGGGGGGCAAGCGUUGUUCGGAAUUAUUGGGCGUAAAGGGUGCGUAGGCGGUUUGACAAGUCUUAUGGGAAAUCUCUGGGCUCAACCCAGAGUCUGCAUGGGAAACUGUCGAGCUUGAGUAUGGGAGAGGUGAGUGGAAUUUCCGGUGUAGCGGUGAAAUGCGUAGAUAUCGGAAGGAACACCUGUGGCGAAAGCGGCUCACUGGACCAUUUCUGACGCUGAUGCACGAAAGCUAGGGGAGCAAACAGGAUUAGAUAUCCCGGUAGUCCCUGUCUCUUAUAC
rnacentral:rRNA from 1 species